rnacentral:rRNA from 1 species
GACGAACCGUGCGAACGUUAUUCGGAAUCACUGGGCUUAAAGCGCGUGUAGGCGGGACGGCACGUCUGUCGCUGAAAUCCCCCGGCUUAACCGGGGAACUGGCGUAGAUACGACCGUCCUGGAGGAGCGUAGGGGGACCUGGAACUUCCGGUGGAGCGGUGAAAUGCGUUGAGAUCGGAAGGAACGCCCGUGGCGAAAGCGAGGUCCUGGACGCCUACUGACGCUGAGACGCGAAAGCCAGGGGAGCGAACGGG